CUGCCCUACAUGCUCCCUCUGUGGACAGGUGUCUGCGGAGUUCAGCCUAGUUUUGCUUUUCGCUGUGACAGGGUAGCCCUGAGUUCAAUGUAAAGUCUCACAUCACUGCAUUCUUCCUCUCCCAAGUGUACAGAUUCUCUCUGUGUGUCAUGCGGCUGCUGCUGUGGAUUGAGGGAGGAGCGGCAUCAGUAACCAAAGACUAUCUUUCCUACGCCUUCAGUGCCUCUUUCUGUGAUAUGAAGUUAAAACAAGGUGACAAACGAGAUUCUACCCAUGUCAGCAGACUGGAGAUUGCAGUUCUUCAAACCUGAGUGUAAGGUGUCUCAGAGCAAUAUGGAUUGCAGACAAAGAUUUUACUGAAACUUGAGAUCUGAAUUAAAAACCAGCCUUAGAAGUUAAUUUACAACUCUAAAGAUAAUGAGAACUUCAGAGAGGCUCACCCACCUCCUGAGUUAUGCAUGGACAUUUUGAGGGAGGUGGCAGGGGGUGCAAUACUGAGGCCCAGGACCAUGGAGGCAUCUCUUAAUUGUGAAACUGAAGACAUAGGACUUACCGUGUUUCCAAAACAGACUUUCUCAGAAGGGAGAAGAGAGACAGUUGCCUUACUCCCCACUAUAAGCAGAUACAAUUCAUAUUUUUCCAUUCCUUGAUUACCAUAUAGACUUGGUGUGUUUAAGAUAUUUGACCUGGCUUUCAUCACAAUGGCCCUGGCAUAAGAACGAAAGCACGGGGGAAUCACACGCUUGUUUUUUGCU
rnacentral:lncRNA from 1 species